rnacentral:misc_RNA from 1 species
AAAGUCGUAACAAGGUUUCCGUAGGUGAACCUGCGGAAGGAUCAUUAACACGUAUCCACGUUGAAUCACCGCGAAUUCUUAGGGUACGCUUAUUUGAGAAAAGGCCUAACUUUGACGACCAAACGAAAGUGAGGUCUUCUCAGUGAAAGCUCUGCUCUAUUCUCGACUUAGCGGUUGAGUUAGAGAUAUCAAAUGGGCUCCUUUGCUUGCCCCUUUCAGAGACAAAUCUUCGGAGGCGUUUCUGAUCGGGGAAUUGAAACCCCUUUUUUUCAAAUAAAGGCCGUCUCUUUGCAGACCGCUUUUAACCGAAUGCUGUACAACUCUUAGCAACGGAUAUCUUGGUUCUG